rnacentral:lncRNA from 1 species
AUCAUGCCACUGCACUCCAGCCUGGGGGACAGUGCAAGACUCCGUCUCGAAUAAAAAAAAAUACUGACAUGAGUGCAAAAAGCAGGUAUAGAUUAAGUUUUCAUAAAUAUAUUACUGACUUGUGAUCAAGAGAAUAUUGUCAGACUUAAGAAAGUAGAAGUCAACACAAUACUAAGCAGCAAUUUAAUAGAGUGCUAAUCUAAUCAGAAAAGGCUUCCAAAAUUCUGCCGAGAAAGAGAAUAACAUUUUUUGAAGCACAUGAUAUUCGCUUGGAGGAGAAAGAAACAGCUUUUUGUUAUUUUUUGCUGUCUUAGAUCACGCUGAGUUUUUACUGCAAGAAACCUAUGAAAAGUACCCAUUACUAAUAGCACUCAGCAAAGGUGAUCUACCCCAACCAGACAAAGCUGUGUGCCAUUUCCAAGAUGUUGCUGGCACUCGAACUUUCACUCAAGGUGUCUUACAUACCUUCUCCUCACUCUCAUUCAGAAUGUGCUUCCACAUUCUAUGCGCUCAGACUUCAAAAUCUCACCAACUUCAACAUCCAGGAGAAUAGAAGAGAUGGAAAUAAAGGAGGCAAGAAUGGUUUACAGAUCCAGCUGAAACCGAAUGGAAGGAAAGGCAGUGGAUUUCAUCAAGAUCCUACAGACAAGGUGUAAGAUCUGUAAUUUCGAAAGGACAUAUACACAAACUCAUUCAGCCACAUUCCAGUCUAGAAUUAACAUGAAGAAAAUCUAUUAACAAUGGUAAAGCUUUUUUCCUCUCCAAAUGAAUAUGGCAAUACCCAUUCUGGAGAACUCUUAUUCUCUGUUGAAAUAACACCACUUUUCUAUAUGGCCAUCUAGCAAUAAAUAUAAAAAUGGUUAAUUUGCAUA